rnacentral:rRNA from 1 species
CAUAUCAAUAAGCGGAGGAAAAGAAACCAACAGGGAUUGCCUUAGUAACGGCGAGUGAAGCGGCAACAGCUCAAAUUUGAAAGCUGGCUCCUUUGGAGUCCGCGUUGUAAUUUGUAGAGGAUGAUUCGGCAAGGGCUCCCGCCUAAGUCUCCUGGAACGGAGCGUCAUAGAGGGUGAGAAUCCCGUAUGCGGUGGGCUGCCUAAGCCAUGUGAAUCUCCUUCGACGAGUCGAGUUGUUUGGGAAUGCAGCUCUAAAUGGGAGGUAAAUUUCUUCUAAAGCUAAAUACCGGCCAGAGACCGAUAGCGCACAAGUAGAGUGAUCGAAAGAUGAAAAGCACUUUGGAAAGAGAGUUAAAAAGUACGUGAAAUUGUUGAAAGGGAAGCGCUUGCAGCCAGACUUGUCCGCAGUUGCUCAGCCGGUCUCCUGACCGGUGUACUCUUCUGCGGCCAGGCCAGCAUCAGUUCGGGCGGUCGGAUAAAGACCUCGGGAACGUAGCUCCUCUCGGGGAGUGUUAUAGCCCGGGGUGGAAUGCGGCCAGCCUGGACUGAGGAUCUCGCUUCGGCUAGGAUGCUGGCGUAAUGGCUGUAAGCGGCCCGUCUUGAAACACGGACCAAGGAGUCUAACAUCUAUGCGAGUGUUUGGGUGUCAAACCCAUGCGCGUAAUGAAAGUGAACGGAGGUGGGAACCCUCACGGGUGCACCAUCGACCGAUCCUGAUGUCUUCGGAUGGAUUUGAGUAAGAGCAUAGCUGUUGGGACCCGAAAGAUGGUGAACUAUGCCUGAAUAGGGUGAAGCCAGAGGAAACUCUGGUGGAGGCUCGCAGCGGUUCUGACGUGCAAAUCGAUCGUCAAAUUUGGGUAUAGGGGCGAAAGACUAAUCGAACCAUCUAGUAGCU